rnacentral:rRNA from 1 species
UACGGGGGGGGCAAGCGUUGUUCGGAAUUACUGGGCGUAAAGGGCGCGUAGGCGGCCUUCUAAGUCGGACGUGAAAUCCCUCGGCUUAACCGAGGAACUGCGUCCGAUACUGAAAGGCUUGAAUCCGGGAGAGGGAUGUGGAAUUCCAGGUGUAGCGGUGAAAUGCGUAGAUAUCUGGAGGAACACCGGUGGCGAAGGCGGGUCUCUGGGCCGAUACUGACGCUGAGGAGCGAAAGCGUGGGGAGCAAACAGG